CAGCCGUAAACUAUGCGCGUUAGGUGUAUCGGUGACCACGAGUUACCGAGGUGCCGAAGGGAAACCGUGAAACGUGCCGCCUGGGAAGUACGGUCGCAAGGCUGAAACUUAAAGGAAUUGGCGGGGAGGCACCACAACAGGUGGAGCCUGCGGUUUAAUUGGACUCAACGCCGGGAAGCUCACCGGAUAGGACAGCAGAAUGAUUGCCGGGCUGAAGACCCUGCAUGACUAGCUGAGAGGAGGUGCAUGGCGUAGACGUCU
rnacentral:rRNA from 1 species